CCGGCUGAUGAGACAAGGCGAAUGUGACCUGUGCUCCCUGGGGGUGGGAUCUGGAAUCUCAGUGGGGUGCCUGAGGCCUGGCUCCCCACUGUAAGGCCAGAUCAAUAGCACCGCUGGCCCUGAAUGCAUUUCCGCUGCUGGCCCCAGUUCUGGCAGCUGCGUGCAGGGGGGCCAACAGGCGGGGUCAAAGACGAGGGAGGCACAUGCGCUCUGAGCACAACCUUGGAUCUGACG
ensembl:snoRNA small Cajal body-specific RNA 12